UACGUAGGGGGCUAGCGUUGUCCGGAAUCAUUGGGCGUAAAGAGCGCGUAGGCGGCCAGAUAAGUCCGGUGUGAAAGUCAAAGGCUCAACCUUUGAAUGCCGCUGGAAACUGUCUGGCUAGAGUCCGGGAGGGGCGAGUGGAAUUCCUGGUGUAGCGGUGGAAUGCGCAGAUAUCAGGAGGAACACCGAUGGCGAAGGCAGGUCUCUGGGCCGACUACUGACGCUGAGAAGCGAAAGCAUGGGGAGCGAACAGG
rnacentral:rRNA from 1 species